rnacentral:rRNA from 1 species
UACGUAGGGGGCAAGCGUUAUCCGGAAUUACUGGGUGUAAAGGGAGCGUAGACGGUGAUGUAAGUCUGGAGUGAAAGGCGGGGGCCCAACCCCCGGACUGCUCUGGAAACUAUGUGACUGGAGUGCAGGAGAGGUGAGCGGAAUUCCUAGUGUAGCGGUGAAAUGCGUAGAUAUUAGGAGGAACACCAGUGGCGAAGGCGGCUCACUGGACUGUAACUGACGUUGAGGCUCGAAAGCGUGGGAGCAAACAGG